rnacentral:other from 1 species
CAGGUCCUGCAGUGUGCGUGCGCGUUGUGGUAUGUUUUGAGCCAACACCAUGACAUAGGGAACCGGAUCCUUGAGCAGGUAGCCGGCACGCCCCCCCGAGAGGGUUAGGGGACGUCGAAAAUUUGCGGGAGGUUCCCACCUGCUUGCGAGCAGGUUCAAAACGCCAAGAGUCACACGGCAUCGCGGGGCAUCG